rnacentral:rRNA from 1 species
UACGGAGGGUGCAAGCGUUAAUCGGAAUUAUUGGGCGUAAAGGGCGCGUAGGCGGGUGAAUAAGUCAGAUGUGAAAUUCCAAAGCUCAACUUUGGAGCUGCAUUUGAAACUAUAAUUCUAGAGGAUUGAAGGGGAAAACGGAAUUCCACGUGUAGCGGUGAAAUGCGUAGAUAUGUGGAAGAACACCUGUGGCGAAAGCGGUUUUCUAGUUAAUACCUGACGCUGAGGCGCGAGAGCAAGGGGAGCAAACAGG